CAUGCUUGCCAUUGUGCUCAUUCGCACAUGCUUGUGAGGGUCGCUCCCUACAAGCCGGCACUCCGGAGUUGGCCAUCGCGAUACGUUCGCCGUGCGGGAUUGGGCGCCGAAGUGGAUUGCCGUGGGAAAGGCUCAUUCCUAGGGUGGGGAUGUUGACUACCACGGGGCCAUUAGGCACGGUAAAGUCAGACAGCCUUCGGGUGGGUCUUAUGCUAGACAGCCUUC
rnacentral:lncRNA from 1 species